rnacentral:rRNA from 1 species
ACGGGGUGCAGCAGGCGCGAAAACUUUACAAUGCGGGAAACCGCGAUAAGGGGACACUGAGUGCCAGCAUAUUAUGUUGGCUGUCCACAUGUAUAAAAAUCAUGUGUUAGCAAGGGCCGGGCAAGACCGGUGCCAGCCGCCGCGGUAACACCGGCGGCCCGAGUGGUGAUCACUUUUAUUGGGUCUAAAGGGUCCGUAGCCGGCCUGAUAAGUCCUUUGGGAAAUCUGGCAGCUUAACUGUCAGGCUUCUAAGGGAUACUGUCAGGCUUGGGACCGGAAGAGGUAAGGGGUACUCCAGGGGUAGGAGUGAAAUCUUGUAAUCCCUGGGGGACCAUCUGUGGCGAAGGCGCCUUACCAGAACGGGUCCGACGGUGAGGGACGAAAGCUAGGGGAGCAAACCGGAUUAGAUACCCGGGUAGUCCUAGCUGUAAACGAUGCUCGCUAGGUGUCAGACACGGUGCGACCGUGUUUGGUGCCGCAGGAAGCCGUUAAGCGAGCCACCUGGGAGUACGUCGCAAGGC